CCCAGCUAGUCAUGCUAGAGCACUUUUUCAAUGAGCUCCCUAACGAGAAGGCGACAACAUUCGUAUGUCAAUCCAUAUCAACUUUUGAUGCCAUUGACUGCGCCUACCAUGGUGACCACGGGUAACGGAGAAUCGGGGUUCGAUUCCGUACAGGGACCCUGACAAACUGCUACCACAUGCAAGGAAGGCAGCAGGCGCGCAAAUGACCCACUCCCGACGCGGGAAGGUAGUAAUG